CGUUAGAAUUUUCAUCCCCUUCUAUUAUUAAAAACUAGCGUGACUAAUAAAAUAACCACACAAUUGCACAUAGCACGUCAUGUGUACCUCAUGUAGGCAUAUAGAGAAUAAUCUUUAACAAUGAAAAUGGAUAAAUUUUUUAACG
rfam:Gossypium hirsutum cultivar TM-1 chromosome 5, whole genome shotgun sequence